rnacentral:sRNA from 1 species
UACCGGUAUUUGUCCGGUCGGCACAUAGAGUUCAUGUUGAUUUAAUUGACAUAUCUAAUGGG